rnacentral:rRNA from 1 species
CCUACGGGUGACAGCAGUGGGGACUAUUGCACAAUGGGGGAAACCCUGAUGCAGCGACGCCGCGUGAAGGAAGAAGUAUUUCGGUAUGUAAACUUCUAUCAGCAGGGAAGAAAAUGACGGUACCUGACUAAGAAGCCCCGGCUAACUACGUGCCAGCAGCCGCGGUAAUACGUAGGGGGCAAGCGUUAUCCGGAUUUAAUGGGUGUAAAGGGAGCGUAGGCGGUUGAGCAAGUCAGAAGUGAAAGCCCAGGGCUCAACUCCGGGACUGCUUUUGAAACUGUUGAACUAGAGUGCAGGAGAGGUAAGUGGAAUUCCUGGUGGAGCGGUGAAAUGCGUAGAUAGUAGGAGGAACACCAGGGGCGAAGGCGGCUUACUGGACUGUAAAUGACGCUGAGGCUCGAAAGCGUGGGGAGCAAACAGGAUUAGAGACCCCUGUAGUC